rnacentral:rRNA from 1 species
AGUGAACGCUGGCGGUAGGCCUAACACAUGCAAGUCGAACGGCAGCACAGUAAGAGCUUGCUCUUACGGGUGGCGAGUGGCGGACGGGUGAGGAAUACAUCGGAAUCUACUUUUUCGUGGGGGAUAACGUAGGGAAACUUACGCUAAUACCGCAUACGACCUACGGGUGAAAGCAGGGGAUCUUCGGACCUUGCGCGAUUGAAUGAGCCGAUGUCGGAUUAGCUAGUUGGCGGGGUAAAGGCCCACCAAGGCGACGAUCCGUAGCUGGUCUGAGAGGGUGAUCAGCCACACUGGAACUGAGACACGGUCCAGACUCCUACGGGAGGCAGCAGUGGGGAAUAUUGGACAAUGGGCGCAAGCCUGAUCCAGCCAUACCGCGUGGGUGAAGAAGGCCUUCGGGUUGUAAAGCCCUUUUGUUGGGAAAGAAAAGCAGCAGGUUAAUACCCCGCUGUUCUGACGGGACCCAAAGAAUAAGCACCGGCUAACUUCGU